rnacentral:rRNA from 1 species
UAUGAAGCUGGAAUCGCUAGUAAUCGCAGAUCAGAAUGCUGCGGUGAAUACGUUCCCGGGUCUUGUACACACCGCCCGUCACACCAUGGGAGCCAGGAAUGCCCGAAGCCAGUGGCCUAACCGCAAGGGAGGAGCUGUCGAAGGCAGGCCCGGUAACUGGGGUGAAGUCGUAACAAGGUAAC